rnacentral:misc_RNA from 1 species
GAUGAAGAACGCAGCGAAAUGCGAUACGUAAUGUGAAUUGCAAAUUCAGUGAAUCAUCGAGUCUUUGAACGCACAUUGCGCCCCCUGGUAUUCCGGGGGGCAUGCCUGUCCGAGCGUCAUUGCUGCCCUCAAGCACGGCUUGUGUGUUGGGCCCCGUCCUCCGAUCCCGGGGGACGGGCCCGAAAGGCAGCGGCGGCACCGCGUCCGGUCCUCGAGCAUAUGGGGCUUUGUCACCCGCUCUGUAGGCCCGGCCGGCGCUUGCCGAUCAACCCAAAUUUUUAUCCAGGUUGACCUCGGAUCAGGUAGGGAUACCCGCUGAACUUAAGCAUAUCAAUAAGCGGAGGA